AGCUCAGUCGGAUAGAGCACCAGAUUCCUAAUCUGGGGGCCGGUAGUUCGAAUAUCUUAAUAAAAUACUGACA
rnacentral:tRNA from 1 species